CCCACAUUCGAUCCCCACUACACCCGAUCGAUCCCAUCGUCCCUCCUCACGCCACCAGGAAGAAACAGAGAGGAGAAAGAGACCCUGCUCCCGAUCCCGCUCACAUGCAUCCUCCUUGCCUUGUUCCGACCACCUCUGCCACCCUGUCGUUGUUCUGGUCGGUGAGCUCCUCACCUCUGGCCCCCUCGCAUCGCCGCCUCCUCCUUCGACCUGCACGGCCGCCGGCCCCACCCCUGCCGCACACCCCAUGUCGCCGGUGGCGCCCGCACUCCGCGCCUCCCAUGGCGCACCAGGCCGUGGCCGGUGCGCGUGGGCGCUCGCCCGCAGCUCGCCACUACUCCUUCGCGCGCCCCUCCGAUGCUGGUCGCCCCUGCCUGACUGUCUCGUCACCAACGGCCCUCGCCUCGUUGGCCACCUCUCCAACCCGCCAAGGCCUCCCCCGAGCUCGUGGACCUUCCCUGUCGCUCGAU
rnacentral:rRNA from 1 species